UACAAUUUAUUAAUACCUUGUCCCAAAAUUGCAGUAAGAAGCUUUUACAUCACCACCAUCCCUCCAACCAACCCUAUAGCUGAGUGCACGGGGCUCCACCUGCACACAUCUAUCACCCUUUCCAUCUGAAGGAAACAGCAAACUCCAGGUGACUAAUGUAAUGGAGAUGAGCAGACAUCCUGCAAGGACAUCUAAGUGUCCUUUCCUAGCACAAAGCUACUUCCAAGUGCAACAGCAGCACAAGUGCUUCUCCAGUAGCAUAAAACCGGAGGUGUUUUCUUUCAUCAUGCCUGCAUCACAUGUAAAACAGCGACUGGCUGUGCUUCCCAGGGAAAGGCUCCUGCUGCAAACAGUGCAGGCGCUCACUUACGCAAACAGAAGGAAAACUCACUCUGCUGGUUUGUCCUUGGCAUGCUCUGUUCCACUCUCCACCCUCUUCCCUGGCCUCUCCUCAGCCUCUUCCAUGCCGAUGGUGUUGGCACUCACCUGCCCUCCCCACACUGGCCAUGCUGCUUCUUGAAGCAGGGCACGAGAGAAUCAGAAGCUCAGCUUUCCCUCCUGAAGUCCCCUAGCUAACAACUUCCCUGCUAAGCACUUCCCCUACUCCAUUCACAUGUUGAGAUGCUGAUUUAUAUCACAUAUCUAAUCAGAUUAGCUGCAGGCAAAAGUCUCUCCUGCCUGCACUUCCCCGCAAAACCCUGUGAUUUGUCAUUGCCUCAAGUACUACAAAGUGAACUUUCAGAAGCCUUAUGCAGUCACAAGCAUAUACCUCUCUCUUCUGAGCAGUACAGAAGCCUUCAGGUGCUCCCUCACCUUCAUCCACAGCAAGCAGCCAUUGCCCUGGGGCCCUCUUCUCCUGAUGCUCACCUCAGCACAUCUCAUCCUGUGCCAUAUUCAUGGCUAGAAAAGGCACAUAAGAUCACCUAGUUCAAUCCCAACCCAUCCCCACCUAAAACAUGCCCCUAAGCACUACAUCUGCCCUCUCAGUCAAUACCUCCAGAGAUGGUGACUCCACCACCUCCCUGGGCAGCCUGCUCCAACAACUGACUGCUCUUUCUGAGAAGAAACUCUUUUUAAGACCCAGCCUGAAUCCCCCCUUGUCCUAACACUGUUACCCAGAACACGAAGACUCAGGGGGGGACCUCAGUGGGGCUUUCCAGUAUAUGAACAGAGCACAUAAACAGGAGGAGGAAUGGCUGUUCGUGCGGGUGGAUAGGGACAGGACAAGGGGGAAUGGUUUUAAACUGAGAUGGGAGGUUUAGGGUGGAUAUUAGGAAGAAGUUUUUCAUACAGAGGGUGGUGAAGCACUGGAACAGGUUGCCCAAGGAGAUUGUGGAUGCCCCAUUGGCAUUCCAGGCCAGGCUGGAUGUGGCUCUAGGCAGCCUAGUCUGCUGGUUGGCAACCCUGCACAUAACAGGAGGAUUGUAAACCAGAUGAUCAACAUGGUCCUUUCAACCAAAGUCAUUCUAUAGCUCUAUGAAAAAGAGGUUGACCCCACCUCACCACAACCUCCUUUCAGAGAGCACCACACCCCCCCCAAGACUCCUCUUUAUCACACUGAGCAAUCCCAGCUCCCUCAACC
ensembl:lncRNA